rnacentral:rRNA from 1 species
UACAGAGGUCCCAAGCGUUGUUCGGAUUCAUUGGGCGUAAAGGGUGCGUAGGCGGCGCGGUAAGUCGGGUGUGAAAUCUCGGAGCUUAACUCCGAAACUGCAUUCGAUACUGCCGUGCUUGAGGACUGGAGAGGAGACUGGAAUUUACGGUGUAGCGGUGAAAUGCGUAGAUAUCGUAAGGAAGACCAGUGGCGGAAGGCGGGUCUCUGGACAGUUCCUGACGCUGAGGCACGAAGGCCAGGGGAGCAAACGGG